CAGUCGCCGCGGGAAUACGAAGGGUGCAAGCGUUAAUCGGAAUUACUGGGCGUAAAGUGUGCGUAGGCGGUGAGUUAAGUCUGCUGUGAAAUCCCCGGGCUCAACCUGGGAAUGGCAGUGGAUACUGGCUCGCUAGAGUGUGUCAGAGGAUGGUGGAAUUCCCGGUGUAGCGGUGAAAUGCGUAGAGAUCGGGAGGAACAUCAGUGGCGAAGGCGGCCAUCUGGGACAACACUGACGCUGAGGCACGAAAGCGUGGGGAGCAAACAGGAUUAGAUACCCCAGUAGUCCCUGUCUCUUAUAC
rnacentral:rRNA from 1 species